rnacentral:rRNA from 1 species
GAGUUUGAUCCUGGCUCAGAUUGAACGCUGGCGGCAUGCCUUACACAUGCAGGUCGAACGGCAGCACGGGAGCUUGCUCCUGGUGGCGAGUGGCGAACGGGUGAGUAAUGCAUCGGAACGUAUCCUGGAGUGGGGGAUAACGUAGCGAAAGUUACGCUAAUACCGCAUAUUCUGUGAGCAGGAAAGCGGGGGACCUUCGGGCCUCGCGCUCUUGGAGCGGCCGAUGUCGGAUUAGCUAGUUGGUGAGGUAAAGGCUCACCAAGGCGACGAUCCGUAGCAGGUCUGAGAGGAUGAUCUGCCACACUGGAACUGAGACACGGUCCAGACUCCUACGGGAGGCAGCAGUGGGAAUUUUGGACAAUGGGGGCAACCCUGAUCCAGCCAUGCCGCGUGAGUGAAGAGGCCU